rfam:Candida albicans SC5314 chromosome R sequence.
GCUCUUAUGGUCUAGUGGUUAAGACAGUUGAUUGCAAUAUUUUAUCUAAAAUAUCUGUAAUUAUCAAUUGGUCCCUGGUUCGAAUCCGGGUGAGAGCU